GACUCUUUGUGAGAAAGAAAGGUCACAAUGUACCUCUGAGUGAGAUCGACUAAGCUCUCCAAGUUCAAGAGAAACCUCUGAGUGAAGCCAUGCGAUACUCUCCAAGUAUAGACCAACAAUCUCUUUUAUGUGGUGAAUUGAAGACUACACCUAGCCAUGUGAUCAUGCUUCCACUACUCAUUCCACCAAGCCAUCUGCAUUUGCGGUUCAAACUUGUCAUCUUGCAUUCACCCGACGCCAAGUUUGCGGGAGAGUUUUGAAGCCACACAGCAAGCCCACAACAAGCCCACGACUGUCAUUGGAGAAGUCACAAGUUCCUCAAGUUUUUCAGAGACACGUGAGAGCAAGGAUGUAAUGACAGUGCUAAAGCUUCUCAUCUUUGUUCAAAAAAAAAAAAAACUUCUCAUCUUAUCAUCCACGAAGGUGCUCGAUAAAAGGCCAAAGAGAAAGUCAGAAAGUCUGAUGCAGAUUGUAGAUGGUUAUUGAAUGGAAGAAAGAUGGUGGGUAUGAUACAAGUUGUUGUGAGAAGGUCCCUUUUUGUUAUAAGACAAAAAAAAAAAUUUGAGUUAAACGGGUCACAAGAGAAUCUGGACUCUUUGUGGGAAAGAAAGGUCACAAUGUACCUCUGAGUGAGAUCGACUAAGCUCUCCAAGUUCAAGAGAAACCUCUGAGUGAAGCCAUACGAUACUCUCCAAGUAUAGACCAACAAUCUCUUUUAUGUGGUGAAUUGAAGACUACACCUAGCCAUGUGAUCAUGCUUCCACUACUCAUUCCACCAAGCCAUCUGCAUUUGCGGUUCAAACUUGUCAUCUUGCAUUCACCCGACGCCAAGUUUGCG
rnacentral:lncRNA from 1 species